UCCCUUUCAUUGCAAUCUUCAUUUAAGUCUUAAAGAUCCAAAAUAUUAUAACCAAUAUUAUCAUGAAUCAAGGAUAUCUAAAUAUUGUACCAUUCAUCAAUCUAUCCUCAUGAGUAUUAUCUCCCAUAAAUAGGCUGCUUAUGAAGUGUUCAUGAGUUUAUCUUUUAAAUAUAUGUAUCUUAGAUACAAGCACAAUUUAAAAAGGGGAAAAAUGUCCUUACCUUCUCACUACCUCAACACUAGGAACAUCAUACCUUGCAUCAACAUUACUCUUCAUUACAUAGCUAAACAUAAAUAUCAACUUAGAGAGGCAAAUUAUUCAAAGAUGAUAGGCCCGAAUCUAUAAGGUGAUAAUCACCAUCCACCCAUGUACCUGUUCAAUCUCAUUAGGUGCCUUUACUGUUGAACCCCUUACACAUUAUAACUUUCAAUUUCUAAACUCUACUACCAACAUUUUCCUCGAACACUUAGAACGAGGUUGCAAAGACUCCACUUCAUGCCAUAUUAUGGUUGCAAACACUCCAAAACUAUUUCUGGAUAUUUUGCCUAACCCAGCUUGCAACCUACGAUCUUGCUAGUUGUACUGGCCCAAUCCGUGAAUCCUACAAGAUUUUCAACCAAUCCUAUAGAAAAAUCUAAACAAGCCCUAAGUGAAUUAGAAUUCCUAAACCUAACGAUCAGAAAGCAAUAUCCUUCCCAAUGAAAGGAACUCGAUUCUAUCAUUGACUGUGUCUAUCAAACUACGUUCAUGAUAAUCAUAGGACAGCAUACCCCAUGAGCAAUCCUUGGAAAGGUCCAUAAUGAUGUAGCAUCAAGACACAUGAAAAGUUUCUUGAGAGGAUGCUUAUAAGCAUGCCACACAAAAGAUAAGAACAUCGAGAUGAAUCUUCUCCAAUGAUUCCUCAACCAGGUCCCUUUCAUUGCAAUCUUCAUGUAAGUCUUAAAGAUCCAAAAUAUUAUAACCAAUAUUAUCAUGAAUCAAGGAUAUCUAAAUAUUGUACCAUUCAUCAAUCUAUCCUCAUGAGUAUUAUCUCCCAUAAAUAGGCUGCUUAUGAAGUGUUCAUGAGUUUAUCUUUUAAAUAUAUGAAUCUCAGAUACAAGCACAAAUUAAAAAGGGGAAAAAUGUCCUUACCUUCUCACUACCUCAACACUAGGAACAUCAUACCUUGCAUCAACAUUACUCUUCAUUACAUAGCUAAACAUAAAUAUCAACUUAGAGAGGCGAAUUAUUCAAAAAUGAUAGGCCCGGAUCUAUAAGGUGAGAAUCACCAUCCACCCAUGUACCUGUUCGAUCUCAUUAGGUGCCUUUACUGUGGACCCCUUACACAUUAUAACUUUCAAUUUCUAAACUCUACUACCAACAUUUUCCUUGAGCACUUGGAACGAGGUUGCAAAGACUCCACUUGAUGCCAUAUUAGGGUUAGCAUAAAAAAUUCAUAUUCAAAGAAACUUUCAUUUAUGUAGCCAAAGGAUUAAAAUCCCAUUAUGGAUGCCUGUCCCGAGGACAAUACAAUGCCGGGAAGGAUUGGGACAGCCUAGAAUGACUGCAGGAUUUCCAUUUUCCCAUCUCCCAUCUUAAUGUCUUCAAGGAUCCUCUUAUAUUUUUCCAUGCAAACUCCAUUAAUAGAGAAAUAUUUUACUAGACAUAGAGAACUUCUAAGAAGGCCUUGUUUUAAUGAAGCUUGCAAACCACAAGAAUUGUAACACAACCCUUAGGUGAACCAAGGCUAAACACAAGUGAGAGAUCAAUCUCAAAUUACAAGAAAAAAUAAAAAUGAUGAUACCAAUUAGUUUGUCUAUUUGUUUAUAAAUUAUUGCAGAAUAAAAUCUUUACAAAACCAUGUGGUAGACAAAAAUCCAUUUCCUAAUCAUUAUUCUUGAGAUGCAUAUAUGCUUGCGGACAGUUAACCAUACCCAACAAAAACUGAUUAUGAAAAACAGCUUGGUGCAGAAAACUCACCAAAGAUAAGCACCAUAGCACCUCAUAACUGUCUAAUCUAAAGAUAUAAAAACAUAACAAAGAGGACCCAAAGACACCAAUCAAUAUAAAUCAGGUCAUUGAGACGUGAUUAACAAUAUUGAAGUCUAACUAUUUUACAAACAAGACCCAACAGAAAAUAGGAUCCAAUCAGUGACAUGAGUGUGAAAAUGAGCUAAUUUUGUUCAGAAUCUAUGACAAUCUCAUCAUUUAUAAGAAAGGAAAAAGGGCAAAGAAAAAACAACUGCACUGUGUACGGCCAAACCUUCAAAUAUUACAACAGAAAUAACAUAGUUCAAAACACUCUGUUUACAUCCCAUCUCAACAACCUAC
rnacentral:lncRNA from 1 species